CGAAAGCCUGACGGAGCAACGCCGCGUGGGGGAAGAAGGUUCUUGGAUUGUAAACCCCUUUUCUCAGGGAAGAAGUUCUGACGAUACCUGAGGAAUCAGCCUCGGCUAACUCCGUGCCAGCAGCCGCGGUAAUACGGAGGAGGCAAGCGUUAUCCGGAAUUAUUGGGCGUAAAGCGUCCGCAGGGGGCGCAUCAAGUCUGCUGUCAAAGGUCGGAGCUUAACUCCGGUUCGGCAGUGGAAACUGGUGCGCUAGAGGGCGACAGGGGUAGAGGGAAUUCCCAGUGUAGCGGUGAAAUGCGUAGAGAUUGGGAAGAACACCGGUGGCGAAAGCGCUCUACUGGGCCGUGACUGACACUGAGGGACGAAAGCUAGGGGAGCG
rnacentral:rRNA from 1 species